rnacentral:rRNA from 1 species
UACGUAGGGUGCAAGCGUUGUCCGGAAUUAUUGGGCGUAAAGAGCUCGUAGGCGGCUUGUCGCGUCGGCUGUGAAAACUCGGGGCUCAACCCCGAGCCUGCAGUCGAUACGGGCAGGCUAGAGUCCGGCAGGGGAGACUGGAAUUCCUGGUGUAGCGGUGAAAUGCGCAGAUAUCAGGAGGAACACCAAUGGCGAAGGCAGCUCACUGGGACGGUAUUGACGCUGAGACGCGAAAGCGUGGGGAGCAAACAGG